rnacentral:misc_RNA from 1 species
UACAUAUAAAACUCUAACAAUUGAACUUUUUGACAAUGGGGUUUGAGUAUUGCUUUCAUAUUUGGAUUAUGACUUUCCUAGAAAUCUCAAAUAGAGAGAAUUUUUCACAUUCACACCACACCAAACUUUAGCGAUUACUGUAGUAAUCUUUUUAUAGCGUCGCCUCCGUCUCUACUGGACAUCUCACAUCACAUAUAUAAGAAUUCUCUUAUUUUAGCUAGCGGCUACCCCUUUUUGAAUAAACAUAGAAGAUAGAGAUGGGAAACAGUAUAGGCAGAGGAAGGAAGGCAAAGGUGAUGAAGAUUGAUGGCGAAACGUUCAAGUUAAAGACUCCGGCGAGGGCAAGGGAUGUUGUCAAGGACUAUCCAGGACACGUACUGCUGGAUUCGGAGGCUGUUAAGCAUUUUGGUAUCCGGGCUAAACCAUUGGAGUCUGAACAGGAGCUGAAGCCGAAGAAAAUAUACUUCCUGGUAGAAUUGCCAAAGGUUCCUGAAGAGAAAGAGCCCAGCAGGGCCACCAGAAGGGUACGCUCAGGAAUUUACAUGAGUGCUAAGGACAGGCUUGAGUGCCUGAUGCUGUCUCGGAAAUCUGUUUCUGACCUUUCCAUUGCUAGAUCAUUGUCUACUCAAGUUCCUGAUGGGCCUACGCCGGUUCGGGUGAAAAUGAGGCUUCCUAAGGCUCAAGUUGAAAAACUGGUGGAAGAGAGCAAAGAUGAAGUAGAGGUGGCUGAAAAGAUUGUUGAUCUUUUCAUGGAAAAUUCCGGCGAAGUUAACGGCCGCGAUGGUAACCGACGGCAAGCGCUAUGGAGGCCAGAACUUGGUAGCAUAAGAGAGAAUCUUAAGCCACGUAAGGUAUGGAUGGUUUCUUUGAAUUUAAUCAAUUUAAUUCCAACCUGCCAUGCUUGCUCAUAUUAUAUUUAUACGUAUACAUGGCCAUAAAUUGAGGGAAAAUUAAUCAAUUGAUAAUGAUCAUAUAAUAAGAAGGUUAUGUUCAUUAAUGUCUUUUCUUAAGUCUUAUUCAAAUUGCAUCUCUUAAUUGCUGCUCUAAGUUUAGUACCAACUUGUUGCAAUAUCUGAAUGCUCAACACAACUGCCCAUUGUGACAUACAACAUUUUGCAUUAUCGAGAGUUAAUCAAUUGUUGUUUUUUUUUUAUAUCAAAAAUGAUUUUUUUUAAAUAAUGAUUUCUUACAUUAUAAAAUAGAUAUUUAAUUAUUAUAUUUUAUUUGGAUAUAUGUAUAAUAUAUGCUUAAUUAAAG